rnacentral:lncRNA from 1 species
CAAAGUUUAUCAAGAGUACGACUAUAAAUUACAAAACAUGUUUUUCUAUACCAAAUCACCACAGUUAGAACAUCAAAAUCCAAAUGAAAAGACAAACAACGAAUUAACAUUCACGGCACCUACUAUAAGUUUGAAGCAUAACAAUGGAAGCAUGAGGAUUACUAUGUUGAAAUUCCCGGCAACAUUGAACAAAGAAGAAACCUUCUUUCCAUAAAUUCACUUGGUCAGGAGAGAUUACCAACUCUAAGCAGGCCCUGGAAAAACGAGGCGAACAUUUUGGGAGUUCAAAGUAUUAUCCAACGGCGUGGGAUGAUACAUCAAACAAAAUAUAUUUGGUGAAAGUUUUCUUGAUAUACCUACGGAUCCCUACAACAAAAAGACUAGGACAGUUGGGCCCAUCCACUUAGAGCAAGUUGUGGAGGUGCAUAUCUAAAGAUACAAGAGUCUCACUAAAAAAGUGAAGAAAGAAAAUCCUGAGCCCCAUAUCCAAUGAAUGCUUUGAAUAGGUACGCAGCUUGGGAUGGAUGAUCCGCCGUUUGAAAUGAUUUAGGACAUCAUUAGGAAUGUUAAAAAGGAUCAUGAUUUUGGCCUUGUUCAGGGAGAUUACUAAAGAUUUUUGAAGCUUCAAAACGUUCCCAACAUUUUCAUUAAGAUCAACUGCAUACUAGAGUGACAGAAAUUUCACAUUUAAAACUAGAACACCCAGGAUCGGUAUUGUUAGACAUGCUUUGAAGGUCAGUUUAGAAAGACAUUGCAUGAAAGAUGUUAGAUAAGGAUAAAGAAACAGUAGGUACUAAGACAAGAAAUUUGCUUGAGAGUAAUGAGGCUACAAAGUAAAAAAGACCAACCAAGUUAUGACAAUUAUAGAUUCUGGUGAAAGACAAAUUAGCCGUUAAAAAUGAUAGUAAGAAUCAUAAUUGUCA